UCUUGUUUGAGGGAACACAAACUAUUUCCAGAUCUAUUUGGAUUACUGAUUUCCAGGGUUUUUCCAAUCCUGAGUAAUUUCCUCUGACUGCCAAUUUUGUGGAUAGAGAAGAAUGAAGAAAAUAAAACUACACACAGACAGACACAUGCAAAUCAUGGAGCAUAGAGGAAAAAAGGUCAAUAAACUUUACACUGAAAUCAAGACUUCAGGACAAUGGAAUAUAACUUGAACAAAGAUGAGAUUGGUUGCAAGUUUCUUUUCAGCCUGGCACCAUGACCUUCCUAAAUUUCUGAAAAAUUUUCUCCAAGAUUGCUUCAUCUUAGAACUGAAGUUCUUUUAGCACUUGUUUCCAUCUGGAAAUGAAUCAUCCAGUGAUCCACAUGCACCAUACCAACUGAAGUCAACCUAGGGCCUGUCUCCACAGACACUGCCAGACCCAAGCAUAUUCCAAGGCAUGAGCUAUUGGCAUUCCUAUUUGAUUAAUGAGGACAAUAUUUCAAUUUGGUAUCAUGUUGAAGUCAACAAUGAAAACAAAAAGCCUUCAUUUUAUCCUAUCCUGAAUGAAAUGGGAUGUAAAUAUAAAGGUUGAUUAAAGUUGAAACCUGCUGCAUUUUAGA